rnacentral:lncRNA from 1 species
GAAGACGUAGCAAGUCCACAAUUGAAGACACCACAGCUGAUUCCUUCAGCUUCACUGGUCUGCGCGUCUCCCCUCAGCUCCCAUCUUCGCGUGUCUUCACGGCCCAUCGCCCAACGUCUUCAACGCAAGACCAGCGAAGCCCAGCUUCCUGUCACCAAUUGAAGCCAGCGAUUUCUUCAAGCCCAGCCAUUUGGGGUCCAACAAUUUUCGGGCCCAACAAAGCCCAUGUUCUGCCUUGCUCGGCCCACCUUCAGCAGUUCAUUUCAGUCCAACAAGUUUCGGCCCAAGAAUAGACCAACAAUUCAGCCCAUGGAUUAGUGAAUUUUAGCCCAAAUCAAGCUCAGCCCAAGAAUUUCAAUAGGCCCAAGCCCAGAAUUUCUGCGGGCUUGCAAAGUUUCUCAGCCUGGCCCAAGUAUCUAUCGUCGCCGCUAUUGCGUUGAUCCGAUCUUCGCUUUGCUCAAGUGAGUUUUGCUCACUACUGCCUUCUUAGUUUGCUAAUGAUGUCUAAGGAUUGAUUAGAUUUAAUUAAGUGUAAUUAGGUGGUUAGAUUAGUUUAGAACAAUUAAAUUAGCGACUUAAUGAUGCAUGCUAGGUGAUUAGACUUAGUCAUUAGCAAGUAGAGAGCUUAUAAUAUUUAUUGAAUGCAUCUCGGGGUUUUCCCGACCUAUUUUGGGUUCCAAUUAGGCAUCACGGGCCUAAAUUGGAUUUUUAAUAUUUAUUUAUUUAUUUUUCGAAAUUAAUUAUUUAAUUAUUUAUUUUUCCCGAAAUUCAAUCGGGAUGGCUAGUGACCAAAACUUUAUGCUGAUUGUUGUGGUGCAGUCCGUUUAUUUAAUUGAGCUUUAUUUUGUGUUGAAUUGAAUUAUUUGUGAAAUUAGGAAUUAUUCUUUAAUGGAAUAACUUUUGGUUAUUAAUUCGAAAAUAACCAGGUGUCGAUUGACAGCACCAAAAGUGUUUUGGUGGACUACAUAAAAAUGUGAGAGUUAUGUAAAGGAAAAUAUUAUAUUUUGGCUAAAGCCAACUGUGUGCCCACGCACGAUAUUUUGUCAAGUAUGAUAAAAAGAUGGAAUUGGUUGUAUGAUUGGGAUGGUAUACUAUAUUGACCUAUGGGCGAUAUGUCAACUUAGCAGAGAGCAGUAUAUCGGUAUACUAUAUCAGCUACGGGCAAUAUGUCAACUUAGCAGAGAGCAAUAUACCUUAUGAGUUUUGAUCGAGAAUGUCGGUAUACUAUAUUAGCCUAAGGAGGAUAUGGCAGCUUAGCAGAGAGCAGUAUAUCUUAUCAGUUUAUAUUGAAUAUGUCGGUAUACUAUAUCAUCCUACAGGCUCUAAUAUGACAACUUAGCAGAGAGUAAUAUCGGUAUACUAUAUCAGCCUAUGGGCGAUAUGGCAGUUUAGUAAAGAGCAGUAUACCUUAUCAACUUAGAUUGAGCACUGUCGGUAUACUAUAUCAUUCUAAGGGCGAUAUGGCAGCUUAGCAGAGAGCAGUAUACCCGAUCAUCUCAGAAACGAGCUAUACGAUCUAUUUAUCAGCUUAGCAGUGAGCAGUCCUAAUAUGAACGGAUUUUAUAGAUAAUAUAAGAUGAGCUAACUAAGAAAGGGUCGAGAUGAUAUGUAAUUAACUAGGUCGAUUGAUUAUUGUUUUGAUUCGAUGUUGUGAAUUGGUUGAUUGAAUGGAAAUGAUCAUGAGUGGUCUUGUUGGCGUGUAAUCGAUUAAGUCGAUUUAAUCGAUGCUUUGAUCAGUGAUGUGAUUGCUUGGGUGCCUAUUUGAUCCGUGCUAAUAGGCAGGUGGAAUAUGAAACCAAGGUAAGUCCUCUGACUCAUGUUAUGCAUAAGCAACCGUAAUGUGUAUUAGUUUACUAAUAGAGUCUUAGGGGGUAAAAUUUGCUAAGACAUAGUCUCAUCUCAGUUGUGGGACAACAUUUCAGGACCCUGAUGAGGAACAUGAGGAGAAGGAACCCGAAGAGGAGUAUCUGGAGGAGAACCCCAAGGAUGAUCUAGAGUAGAAUCCUGAUGAGAACUGAGACUCCACUCAUGUCUAAUGACUUUUGCCGUGGGACCUAUUUGAGUAGAAACCGACCUCUUAGUAUGGCUUGUAUAUAUAUAUGUAUGACUAAGUUGUUAUAUAUGUACAUAAGGUUGUUGGUUUUCAAGUUCAAGUUUCUAAUCCUACUUGUAUAUCCCAUUACUUUAUUGUCU